AGGCAAUUAAUGAUAAAAAUAAUCAAAAAGGUAAAGCUAUCAUCUCUCAUUCUCUUCUCCAACAAAAAAUUACAGCAAAGAAACACCAUUUUCGGAGCUUCAACACUCGGCCAUAUCUCCCUUGCAUGUAGAUAUCGGAAGCUCGUUCGGGUUGGAAGAUGGUGGAGAUUUUAUCACACUAUCUAUCGGCUAUUUUGGUAUUGUGGUUUUAUAAUUUCGGUUAUAAUGGCAUGUAUAGGUCGUUUUGGCUAAUGAUAGCCUACAUGUUUUGUUAUGUUUUUUGUCAUUUGAUUUGGCUUGUAUCUGAGAUAUUAUUAUGCAUGUUAUUUGUGUAAAUGGCUUUAUUAUAUUCAGUCGCGGUUGUGAAGUGGUGUUUCGAUAUCAAA